rnacentral:rRNA from 1 species
UACAGAGGUCCCAAGCGUUGUUCGGAUUCACUGGGCGUAAAGGGUGCGUAGGUGGUGAGGUAAGUCGGAUGUGAAAUCUCCGGGCUCAACCCGGAAACUGCAUUGGAAACUACCUUGCUGGAGGAUUUGAGGGGGGAUUGGAAUACUUGGUGUAGCAGUGAAAUGCGUAGAUAUCAAGUGGAACACCAGUGGCGAAGGCGAAUCCCUGGAAAAUACCUGACACUGAGGCACGAAAGCUAGGGGAGCAAACAGG